rnacentral:rRNA from 1 species
CCUACGGGUGGCAGCAGUGGGGAAUAUUGCACAAUGGUGGAAACCCUGAUGCAGCGACGCCGCGUGAGUGAAGAAGUAUUUCGGUAUUUAAAGCUCUAUCAGCAGGAACGAGACAAGACGGUACCUGACUAAGAAGCCCCUGCUAACUACGUGCCAGCAGCCGCGUUAAUACGUAGGGGGCAAGCGUUAUCCGGAAUCACUGGGUGUAAAGGGAGCGUAGACGGCUGAGCAAGCCUGAAGUGAAAGGCGGGGGCCCAACCCCUGGACUGCUUUGGGAACUGUACGGCUGGAGUGCAGGAUAGGUAAGUGGAAUUCCUAGUGUAGUGGUGAAAUGCGUAGAUAUUAGGAGGAACACCAGUGGCGAAGGCGGCAUACUGGACGGUAACUGACGUUGAGGCUCGAAAGCGUGGGGAGCCAACAGGAUUAGAUACCCCUGUAGUC